GAAAUAAAUAUUUUGAAAUUAAAUGUUAAACAUAAUUUGUGCAUACCAAAAAAAAAUUGUUACAUUAAGUAUAUUUUAAAAAUAAGAAUAACUUAGUUCUAAAUUAUAUAGUGACAAUAAGUAUUAUCCAGUUUCAUGUUUAAUGAGAAAAUAUAUUUUUCUAUUAUUGAGGAUAUUUUGGGAAAUAAAGAUAAAUGAAUUGCAAUUAUAAAAUUAUACAAAACAUAUAAUAAUACUGCAUUUUAAGUUAUAUCAAACAAAACACUAGAAUUCAUUCUAAAUGAACUCUACAUCUCUCGUUAAUUUCACCAAACAGAGUGUUAACAUUCAUUUCUAUUUAUCUUUAGGAUUAGCUCAAUUAUGUGAACUGAUGAAGUUUGUGGAUCCAAUUAUGUUUUGGGUGGCUGACAUCCUUAUUGUUUUCCAAAGAUUGCAGCAUUCCAUGAUGAUUGUGCUCGAAUCUUGGUUUUGUUUUUUGUCAAAAGUAAUGUUCAUACUGAGGUAUCCUAAAGUCUAAAGGGAGAGGAGGAUUGCAUGUGGGAUAUCAGUUUGCUUCACCUUUUUUUUUUUUUUUAAUUUU
rnacentral:misc_RNA from 1 species